UAAGGAAUAUUGGACAAUGGACGCAAGUCUGAUCCAGCCAUGCCGCGUGAAGGAUGAAUGCCCUCUGGGUUGUAAACUUCUUUUAUAGGGGAAGCAAGAUACUUUUUUUAAGGUAGUUGACGGUACCCUAUGAAUAAGCACCGGCUAACUACGUGCAAGCAGCCGCGGUAAUACGGAGGGUGCAAGCGUUAUCCGGAUGUAAUGGGUUUAAAGGGUGCGUAGGCGGGCUUGUAAGUCAGUGGUGAAAUCUCUCAGCUUAACUGAGAAACUGCCAGUGAUACUGCAGGCCUAGAGUAUAGAUGACNUUGGCGAAAUAUGACAUGUAGUGGUGAAAUUCUGAGAUAUGUCAUAGAACACCGAUUGCGAAGGCAGCUAACGAAACUAUAACUGACGCUGAGGCACGAAAGUGCGGGGAUCAAACA
rnacentral:rRNA from 1 species